UGGGAAUAUUGCACAAUGGGCGCAAGCCUGAUGCAGCCAUGCCGCGUGUGUGAAGAAGGCCUUCGGGUUGUAAAGCACUUUCAGCGAGGAGGAAGGUGGUGAGCUUAAUACGCUCAUCAAUUGACGUUACUCGCAGAAGAAGCACCGGCUAACUCCGUGCCAGCAGCCGCGGUAAUACGGAGGGUGCAAGCGUUAAUCGGAAUUACUGGGCGUAAAGCGCACGCAGGCGGUUUGUUAAGUCAGAUGUGAAAUCCCCGGGCUCAACCUGGGAACUGCAUUUGAAACUGGCAAGCUAGAGUCUCGUAGAGGGGGGUAGAAUUCCAGGUGUAGCGGUGAAAUGCGUAGAGAUCUGGAGGAAUACCGGUGGCGAAGGCGGCCCCCCUGGANGAAGACUGACGCUCAGGUGCGAAAAGGCGUGGGGAGCAAAACAGAUUAGNUACCCUGGUAG
rnacentral:rRNA from 1 species